rnacentral:lncRNA from 1 species
UUCCUUCAUCCAUCUCAUCUUCUUUGUCUCUCCAUUUCCUUUCCAUUUUUCUCUCCAUCCUCUAGUGCAUUCAACGUUUCAAGCAAGGGAGAAGAAGAAGAAGAAGGAGCCGUGAGCAUCAUCAUCCAUCCUCCACCUUGAAGCUUGCUUUCGAGAUUCAAGAAUCCAUAACGUUUCAUCCUUCAUCCCCAUCUCCAUCUCACGGUUUGCUUAUGUGUGUACCCUCAAUCCCCGGAAUAGAACGAUCCCUAUUUGCUUAUACUACUAACGAUAUUUCAGGGUUAAAUUAUGCGCUUGCUUUAGGUGCAUCAAGUACACAAAGGAGUUAA